ACCUCCUCGCGCCCCCCGCCCGCGUUCCCGGGGAAGAAUGUGCGAGUGCGCGCGAGGGCCCGAGUGCGCCGCCGCCGGCGCGCUCUCUGGAGCAGAGACCGCGUGGUGAACCAAAUAAAGUAAAAGGUCUGGCUCCUGCUGGGCGAGGCCGAGCGAGGAACGUGCGCGCCAGAGCAGGGGUGUGGCGAGCCCUCGGUGGCCCAGAAAAGAUCAAACGCGCGUCAGCAGCAGCCGUGGCUGCCGCCUGCAAGGGUCCCUGACGCGGGCCGGGCUGUACAGGGUGGAUUUUCUAAGUUGGAGAUGGCGCAUGACAAGAGCUGCCCCAAAUCAAAUGUCACUCCCUUUUUGGAAAUCAUGAUGCUGCUUUUUUUUUUUUUUUUUGGCUGCAGCUAUAAUAAGCCAAAUGUUCCGUGCUGGUGAAGUAAACACGCGUGUUUAAGAAGCAUCUGUGUUAGCACUAAUGGAUGGUGCAUGCUAAUAAAAAUGUAUU
rnacentral:lncRNA from 1 species